rnacentral:lncRNA from 1 species
GGCCUUCCCAGCUCAUGUGUGAGACUGGACCACAGAGGCCUGCUGUGCUUCACAGAUUUUGUCCUGUGCACUGACAGGAAGCAGACUUUCCUAGAAUUCAGAGGACUGAGUGAGCUCUGUUGCAGAACUGCAAAGAAGAGACCAACAAAACACGCAUGAAUGACAGAAGAUACAAAAGGCUUACACCCAUCCUGUCACCCAUGGGUGUGUAGCAGCAAGCAGAGACACAGCACGUGAAGCAUUGAUGGGAUCUGCCAUGAAGAUUCCAGUGUCAAAGGAGUGACUGCCAGUUUGGGCACCGCCCGCCAGUGCCUUCCCUUUCAAGCUGCCCUGUCUGUCCAGUGUCUUCUUUGCACUCCUCCCAUAGUUCCUGUUUAAAAGGGCCCACUGUUUAACUUUCAGUCAG